AGCCCAUUCCUUGUCUGUACCCAAAGUCAGAGGCCAGUUAUCGAAAACUUGAAUGUGAGCACUUGCUGGGAAGCAUGUGAUCUAGCCCGAGCAACCCACCGUGCCCUUAGCUGUGGCAUCACUUGUGCUGCUGUCUGGGUCGGGAGAGGUAGAGGUUAGCUUAGGCCCACCUGUCUCACCUCACUAGCCACACCUAUGGGCAGGUGCUCCUGUCUGCUCUCUUCCCCUGGAAGUCUUGUGCUAAGUGUGAUCAGUGGUCUGAAGCUAGAUCCCAGAGCCUGUCCUUAGGCUGUCUCAUCCUCAGAUUUCUCCCUCCCGUCAGUGUCUGCUCUUUGGAUUCCAUUGUUUCACUUGAUCCUUCCAGGAAGUGCAGAGCUCAGAUCAUGUUUACAGCACUCACUACCCCCUUCUAAUGCCCGCCCGCCCACCUGCCUGCCCGACAAGGGCUCUGGACAAGGGUUUGCUUUCCCUGCUAGCCAGCCCCAGCCACCAUUCCCACUGGCACACUGAGGCUUUCUGGGGCCUGAUAUGGGAACCAGACAGAGUGGUCGGACGUGGCAAUCAGGAGGGUGGCGCCAAGCUGGCUUGAGAAUUUAAUUUUCCAAAGUACAUUACAAAUCAGAUACCAUUAGGGGAAAGCGGGCCAUGUGGCUCAUCUUUGAAACUGUGGUCAAUACUUGAAGGCACUUUAGUCCUGCUGGCCGCGCCAGCUUCCGUCUGGCCGGUGUCUUCUUUUUCUGUGUGUCCCGAGCCAUUCACUGGUCAGAGACAUUAAACCGUGCUCAUAAGCAGUUAUCAAAAAAAAGCAGCAGAAAAUGAGGCUGGAAGGAGCCUGGUGUUUACCCUGUUCUUUGGUUUAAAUCAAGCCGAUGUUGAAGAAGCUGGAAUUUUUUUUUUAUGAAUAAUAAAAUCCCACGUCUAUAUCGUAAAGCUGUCAGUAUAUGUUGAAAUCAAGGAACGAGAGAACUGCCCUACAGAGAGUCUUAACAGCCAGACAGUACCGUGUGCUGGCGCCUACCUGGAUGUGCAUUGCGUACACGCGUGGGGCAUGUCAGAGCUUCAGAUGUGCAUUGCGAACAUGCAUGGGUCAUGUCAUAGCUUCAGAUGUGCAUUGUGUACAUGUGUGGGUCAUGUCAGAGCUUCUAGGUCUCAUUUGGGUUGCACAUAUGGAUCUUGUGUUAAAUUUCCACUUCAAUAAAUGAAUUUUAUUUUUUAUUUUUG
rnacentral:lncRNA from 1 species